ACUAGAUCCAAACCUAUCUAGAUUAGGUUUGAUCUAAUCUUUAGCAAUAUUUGAUUUGGAUUGGAUCUUAGUCAAAUUAAAUCAGAUUUAAUUUGAUUAGAUGUGGUUUGAGUUUGACUUAAACUGAGUUUCAUUGGUCUAAUAAGAUUGGACUUAAUUUGUGAUGAAAUUCAAAUAUAUUUGGACUAGUCCUUGACCAAAUCAAACAAGGAGAUCGAGCCCCUUAAUCCCCAUGCCCCA
rnacentral:lncRNA from 1 species